rnacentral:piRNA from 1 species
UCAAAAAGACGUUUACCAUCU